rnacentral:rRNA from 1 species
GACGAACGCUGGCGGCGUGCCUAAUACAUGCAAGUCGAACGCAGUGGGGACGGGUGAGUAACACGUGGGUAACCUCCCAUCAGAGGGGAUAACACUUGGAAACAGGUGCUAAACCGAUACUGAUGGAUGGACCCGCGGUGCAUUAGCUAGUUGGUGAGGUAACGGCUCACAAAGGCCACGAUGCAUAGCCGACCUGAGAGGGGGAGCUGCCACACUGGGACUGAGACAGGGCCCAGAAUCCUAGGGGGGGCAGCAGUAGGGAAUUGUCGGCAAGGGACGAAAGGCUGACCGAGCAACGCCGGGUGAGGGAAGAAGGUUUGCGGAUCGUAAAACUCUGUUGUUAGAGAAGGGGUAUCUAACCAUAAAGCACCGGCUAACUACGUGCCAGCGGCCGGGGUAAUU